AGAGUUUGAUCAUGGCUCAGAGCGAACGCUGGCGGCAGGCUUAACACAUGCAAGUCGAGCGGGCGUAGCAAUACGUCAGCGGCAGACGGGUGAGUAACGCGUGGGAACGUACCUUUUGGUUCGGAACAACACAGGGAAACUUGUGCUAAUACCGGAUAAGCCCUUACGGGGAAAGAUUUAUCGCCGAAAGAUCGGCCCGCGUCUGAUUAGCUAGUUGGUGAGGUAACGGCUCACCAAGGCGACGAUCAGUAGCUGGUCUGAGAGGAUGAUCAGCCACAUUGGGACUGAGACACGGCCCAAACUCCUACGGGAGGCAGCAGUGGGGAAUAUUGGACAAUGGGGGCAACCCUGAUCCAGCCAUGCCGCGUGAGUGAUGAAGGCCCUAGGGUUGUAAAGCUCUUUUGUGCGGGAAGAUAAUGACGGUACCGCAAGAAUAAGCCCCGGCUAACUUCGUGCCAGCAGCCGCGGUAAUACGAAGGGGGCUAGCGUUGCUCGGAAUCACUGGGCGUAAAGGGUGCGUAGGCGGGUCUUUAAGUCAGGGGUGAAAUCCUGGAGCUCAACUCCAGAACUGCCUUUGAUACUGAGGAUCUUGAGUUCGGGAGAGGUGAGUGGAACUGCGAGUGUAGAGGUGAAAUUCGUAGAUAUUCGCAAGAACACCAGUGGCGAAGGCGGCUCACUGGCCCGAUACUGACGCUGAGGCACGAAAGCGUGGGGAGCAAACAGGAUUAGAUACCCUAGUAGUCC
rnacentral:rRNA from 1 species